GUUGAAAAUGGGAGAGGGAACAAAGGCGAGAGCGUUUGCUGCUGCUGCACUGCUGCUGGCCUGGGCAGAAGGCUGGGGUGGGGAGCUCUUUUCUUACAUCAGUUUCAGAUCUUCCCUCUUUCUGAGUCCUGUAGACUAUAGCUAAUCUUUUCCUAGGCUUGUUUGUUGGCUGGGUCUCAAAUGACCAUAGUCUAGCUCUUGCAGUUACCUACUGACAUGGUUUAGAUCUGUGUCCCUACUGACAUGGUUUAGCUCGUGUCCCCACCAGAUCUCAUCUUGAAUUGUACUCCCAUAAUUCCCACGUGUUGUGGGAGGGACUUGGUGGGAGAUAAUUUAAAUCAUGAGGGUGGUUUCCCCCAUACUGUUCGCAUGGUAGUGAAUAAGUCUCAUGAGAUCUGAUGGUUUUAUCAGGGGGUUCUGCUUUUGCAUCUUCCUCAUUUUUCUCUUGCCACCACCAUGUUAAGAAGAGCCUUUUGCCUCCCACCAUGAUUCUGAGGCCUCCCCAGCCAUGCAGAACUGUAAGUCCAAUUAAACCUCUUUUUCUUCCCAGUCUCGGGUAUGUCUUUAUCAGCAGCAUGAAAAUGGACUAAUACAGUAACUUGGUACCAGCAGAAGGGGUGCCUCUGAAAAGAUACCCAAAAAUGUGGAAGCAACUUUGGAACUGGGUAACAGGCAGAGGUUGGAACAGUUUGGAGGGCUCAAAAAAAGACAAGAAAAUGUGGGAAAGUUUGGUACUUUCUAGAGACUUGUUGAAUGCCUUUGCCCAAAAUGCUGAUAGCAAUAUGGACAAUAAAGUCCAGGCUGAGGUAGUCUCAGAUGGAGAUGAGGAACUUGUUGGGAAGUGGAGCAAAGAUGACUCUUGUUAUGUUUUAGCAAAGUGACUGGUGGCAUUUUGCCCCUGCUGUAGAGAUUUGUGGAAUUUUGAACUUGAGAGAGGUGAUUUAGGGUAUCUGUGGAAGAAAUGUCUAAGCAGCAAAGCAUUCAAGAGGUGACUUGGGUGCUAUUUAAGGCAUUCAGUUUUAAUAAGGAAGCAGAACAUAAAAGUUUGGAAAGUUUGCAGCCUGAAAAUGCAGUAUAAAAGAAAAAUCUAUUUUCUGAGGAGAAAUUCAUGAAAGCUGCAGAAAUUUGCAUAAGUAAUGAGGAGCCGAAUGUUAAUCCCCAAGACAAUGGGGAAAUGUCUCCAGGGCAUAUCAAAGGUCUUCAUGGCAGCCCCUCCCAUCACAGGCCCAGAGGCCUAGGAGGAAAAAAAUGGUUUUGAGGGCCAGGCCCAGGGUACCUGUGCUGUGUGCAGUCUAGGGACUUGGUGCCCUGCAUCCCAGCCACUUCAGCUAUGGCUGAAAGGGGCCAAUGUAGAGCGUGGGCUGUGGCUUCAAAGGGUGCAAGUCCCAGGGCUUGGCAGCUUCCACAUGGUGUUGAGCCUGCAAGUGCACAGAAGUGAAGAACUGAGGUUUGGGAACCUCAGCCUAGAUUUCAGAGGAUGUAUGGAAACGCCUGGCUGUGCAGGCAGAAGUUUGCUGCAGGGGCGGGGCUCUCAUGGAGAACCUCUGCUAGAGCAGUGCAGAAGGGAAAUGUGGGGUUGGAGCCCCCACAGAGAGUCCCUACUGGGGCACUGCCUAGUGGAGCUGUGAGAAGAGGGCCACUGUCCUCCAGACCCCAAAAUGGUAGACCCACUGACAGCUUGCACUGUGCACCUGGAAAAGCCGCAGACCGCAGACUCAACGCUCGCCCAUGAAAGCAGCCAGGAGGGAGGCUGUAUCCUGCAAAGCCACAGGGGCAGAGCUGUCCAAGACCAUGGGAACCCGCCUCUUGUUUCAGCAUGACCUGGAUGUGAGACAUGGAGUCAAAGAAGAUCAUUUUGGAGCUUUAAGAUUUGACUGCCCCACUGGAUUUCAGGCUUGCAUGGGGCCUAUAAUCCCUUUGUUUUGACAAAUUUCUCCCAUUUGAAAUGGCUGUAUUUACUCAAUACCUGUACCCCCAUUGUGUCUAGGAAGUAACUAGCUUGCUUUUGAUUUUACAGGCUCAUAGGUGGAAGAGACUUGCCUUGUCUCAGAUGAGACUUUGGACUGUGGACUUUUGGGUUAAUGCUGAAAUGAGUUAAGACUUUGGGGGACUGUUGGGAAGGCAUGAUUGGUUUUGAAAUGUGAGGACAUGAGAUUUGGAGGGGCCAGGGGUGGGAUGAUAUGGUUUGGCUCUGUGUCCCCACCUAGAUCUCAUUUUGAAUUGUACUCCCAUAAUUCCCACAUGUUGUGGGAGGGACCUGGUGGGAGAUAAUUUGAAUCAUGGGGGCAGUUUUCCCUAUACUGUUCCCAUGGUAGUGAGUAAGUCUUACAAGACCUGAUGGUUUUGUCAGGGGUUUCUGCUUUUGCAUCUUCAUCAUUUUUCUGUUGCCACUGCCAUGUAAGAAGUGCCUUUAACCUUCCACCAUGAUUCUGAGGCCUCCCCAGCCAUGUGGAACUGCAAGUCCAACUAUACCUCUUUUUCUUCCCAGUCUCAGGUAUGUCUUUAUCAGCAGCAUGAAAACGGACUAAUACACCUACAUUAAAGGGCAGAGAAGAGGCCGUGCUGGUUCAUCCAUAUAACUCAUGGGAUCAUUAGGAGGAGAGAAUUGGCCAGCAGGAGGCUGAGUUCCACCUUUCUCAUUUCGUCAUAAGCACGUUUAAAGCCAAGAAACAGCCUUGUGAACCGCCCAAACAGAACAGUGAGCUGUGAGGUUGGGUGUCGUUUGCAGGCUCCCCAGGACUGGCUGAGGAUGCCUUGAUGUGGCACUGAUUAGAGAUGAUCCCAGAGACCACACAGAUGUGAACAGGACUCCCCUCUUCCGUGGGGAACAGAAGUCCAUGAGAGGCUGGGUCUGAAGGGCAGGGCGAGGGUAAAGGAGACAGGUUUGGCAGCAGCCUGGAGGGCUAUAGGUGCUUUGCCCUGUGGCUUUAACAUCAGAUCCCCAAGUAUCCCUGACCUGGGGGAGGAGCUGCCAACACAAAGUCCAGAAAGGGCAGGGCAUAUAGGUGGAAGCAGAAAUGCCAAUCAGGAUGAGUGACAGGGAUGAACCAAAGUUGGGUUCAAUAUUCUGGACCUGGGUGACUGGAGGAAUCAAAGCAUUCUAGAGUUAGAAGUGGCCUUAGAAUAUUUAAUCUUGUGCCUAGGACUAGAUAUUGUGCUUCAGUGUCCCUGAGACCUCCUCCACCUCAAACUUGUGGCCUCCUGAAGGAAAGAAAAAGAGACAAACACUAUCUAGGAAGCCCUGGGGUCCACCAGACUCCUCGGCAGCCACUCUCCCGACUGUGGCUCCCAGGAGAACCCAGUCUCAUGGCCUAGCUGAGUAGCAGAGCACUGUGGAAAGGCUGUAUGGUUGCUGCCCUGCCUCUUGCUGCUCUGUGACCCUGGGCUCGUGACUUCACCUUGCUGGGCCUUCUUUCACCAGUAAGCUGAAAAUAAGCUUUGCUGCUAGGAUAUUAAUUGGUGACAUGAGAUAAGGUUUGUAAAACACAGGGCACUUGCCUGACAUCUACUUCCUCCUUGCCAUCUGGAAGCCUCCAGUAUAACACCUGCCUGAAGUCAUAGCUGAAGUACAACAUGUUUCUGACAAUUAAAUGUAACAGACAUAAUUUCUAGGGCACCCACUGCAUUGGACAAUGUGAGACAGAUGGACUAAGUACAAGACAUGGACCUCUACCUCUGAAAAAAGUAGCAUCUUGGUUAAGCAAAAGACACACAAGCACAAGCUUUUUAAAUUAUGAAACUAAUACAGCUACAUGCAGAAGAAUUAUGAAUCAAAAGGACUAUUGGGAUUUAGAAGGAGAGCUUAGCAGAGUUGGAGGGCUUCCUGGAGAAAAUGGGCUCUGUGAUAGACUCUGAAGUGCUGGUAAGGCAUGGAAGGUGGGCAGCUUUUGCUGUGAGUUGUCCAGGAACAAUGGCAAGAGCAAGGUGUGGGCAAGAGCAAGGUGUGGGCAAGAGCAAGGUGUGGGCAGGAGUGGAUUCAGAGCCCCACUGGAAUAGAGUUUUGAAGUCAUGGAUGAAGUGGGCGGAGAGAGGUCUGAAGAGGUUAGGAGGGCCAGGCAGUGGACUGGAGGUGCCACACCACCAGCAAAAGACCAAGGAUUCUGUUCUAAGGGCCAACCAAGUCUGGAGGCACAGAUUUCAGAGUGAGGGAGUCACAUGAUGAAAAAGGAAUGGUGGAAUAGAGGGGGAUGUUGGAUGGGAGGAGAAUCUAGAACAAUCAGGGUGAGUGACAGGGAUGAAAUGAAGUUAGGUCCAAUAUUCUGGGCCUGGGUGACUGGAGGAAUCAAAGCAUUCUAGAGCGUGAAGUGACCUUAGAAGAUGUAAUCUUGUAUAGCCAUUCAGAAUAGGUUAAUGCCUUUCCUGGGUCCACGGCAAGUUCUUCCUCUCUUAGUUCUCUCAAGAGCUGGUUGUUGAAAACAGCCUAGCGCCACCCCUUCCCCUGCCAUUCUCUCCCUUCCUCUCUCACCAUGUGAUUUCUGCACAUGCAGGCUCCCCUUUGUCUUCUGCCAUGAGGGGAAGUAGCCUGAGGCCCUCAUCAGUUGCAGAUGCUGGGUUUCAUGCUUCCUGUACAGCCUGCAGAAUCAUGAGCCAAAUAAACCUCUUUUCUUCAUAAAUUACCCAGGCUUAUGUAUCCCUUUAUAGCAACACAAAUGGACUAAGACAGUACCCUCCCUAUGGGGCAGUGUCCAGAGAGAAAAGGCCAGAAGACCAAAGACUGAACCUUGAGUCCUGGGAACAGGAUCCAGGAGAAGGGGCAGUCAGAGGUGGGAUGCAGCCCAGAUGUGGUCAUGGUGAUCAAGGACGCAGUAGUGAAGGUGGUCAGUGCUGUCCACAGGCAUGGUACUUGGCUGUGAUCUCCCCAGCCCCACUGAAGCCUAUUACAGAUGGCUGCAAAUUCUUUGACACCUCUCCCACUGAGAUGGGGUGGGGGAAUCUUUGCUUCCUCCAUGUAAAUCGGAGUAGGUUCUGUGACUAAUGCCCCCCAUAGAAUAGAAUGGAAGUUUAGCUGGGCAUGGUAGUGCAUGGCUGUAGUCCCAGCUACUCGGGAGGCUGAAGUGGGAGGAUCGCUUUAAGCCCAGGAGUUCUCCAGCUGGGGCAAGAGAGUGAGAACCUGUCUCAAAAAAAAAAAAAAAAAAAAAAAAAGGAAUAGAAUGGAAGUAAUGUCAUGCCAGUGUCCAGUUCCAGCCUCUGAGAGACUGGCUGUUCUGACCUUUAGAAUCUGGGAGCACUCAGUUGUGGAACCCAGCCACCAUGUUGUGAAGAAGCCCUGUGCAGUGGUCCAAGUGACCAGGAGUCAAAGCUCCCAGCCAAUAGCCAGCACUAACUUGUCAGCAGUGUCAUGGAGCCCACUUGAAAGAGGAUUCUAAUUAUGCUGCCCAAGCUGUGGCCACAUGGAGGAGAGAUAUACAGUCCCUGCUGAACCCUGCUCUAAUUACAGGGAGACUUGAAAACCAGUGGUGGCGAGACUCCAAGACUAUUAUUUUUAUUUCCGGACAAAAACAUCUGCUUCACACAGUGCACGGCAUCAAAUGAAGAGGAAAGAACUUGUAUCCCAAAGCCUGGCUU
rnacentral:lncRNA from 10 species